CCUACGGGAGGCAGCAGUCGGGAAUAUUGCGCAAUGGAGGAAACUCUGACGCAGUGACGCCGCGUGCAGGAAGAAGGUUUUCGGAUUGUAAACUGCUUUAGACAGGGAAGAAAAAAGACAGUACCUUUAGAAUAAGCUCCGGCUAACUACGGGCCAGCAGCCGCGGUAAAACGGAGGGAGCAAGCGUUAACCGGAUUUAUUGGGUGGAAAGGGUGCGUAGACGGAGGAGCAAGUUAGUUGGGAAAUCCCUCCGCCUAACCGAGGAACCGCAACUAAAACUACUUUCCUUUAGUACUGGAGAGGGAAGGUGAAUUCCUAGUGUAGCGGUGAAAUGCGUAGAUAUUAGGAGGAACACCAGUGGCGAAGGCGACUUUCUGGACAGUAACUGACGUUGAGGCACGAAAGUGUGGGGAGCAAACAGGAUUAGAUACCCUUGUAGUC
rnacentral:rRNA from 1 species